CAGUGCCAUUUCAUGGGCUGAUGAUGCUAAGAGAAAAUGGAUGUUAGCUGAAUUUUUGAGGCAAAUAUUCCACAGAGGCAGAUCUGAGGAUGGGACCCUCA